ACUCUCUGGAGAGUCCCGAUUUCGGGAGCCGAAGGUGUAAGGCGGAAUUUUCGCCGAUCUCUCAGGCAAAAGGACAGAGGAUG
rnacentral:ncRNA from 1 species